rnacentral:lncRNA from 1 species
AAGGUACAAGAACAAAAUUUAGUAGUAUUUAGUAGUAUUUAUUUAGUAGCAUUUAGUAGUAUGUUAUAGUGAUAAAAGAACUUAGCAAAAGUUUGUUUAAUAACAUAUUUGAAUAAAAAAAAAUAAAAUCUUAAACCAAAAAUAAAAAUAAAGAAAAAAGUGAACAUUUAAACAAAAUGUUGAGUAGAACAAGGAAGCUUUUUUUCAGUACCAUUCAAAAUAGCAAUUUAUAUUUAACCUUAUCUUCCUCAAGUGAAUCAAUAUUUAAUAAUCAACCCAUUAAAAGGGCAUCAUUUCCAGGUAUUGAGGGAUAUUUUACUGUAACAAACAACCACAGUUCAUUAAUUACUUUAUUACGAAAUGGCAUAAUAACAGUUGAAUUUGAUGAAAAAGAAAAAAAAGAAUUCUUUAUUUCAGAUGGCGUAUUUAUUUAUAAAAAAAGUAAUGACAACAGUAACAGCAAUAAUGCUGAAGUCGUGGGUAUUGAAAUAGUACCCCUAGAAUAUUUGGACAAAAAUAAGACAGUUAAAGUUUUACAACAGUUAUGUGCGAUUAAUGAUACAACGGAUGAUAAAUGGAUAAAAAUAAAAACCAUGCUGGGGUAAUACAUACAUACAUAUGUAUAUGCCUUUGUAUAUGUGUUUAUGUAUGUGCUUAUUGAUGUGCACUUUUUGUGUGUGUAUCUCUUAUGAUAUACAAGCACUUUUACAUGUUUGUGUGCUUAUACUGAUGCAACAAUUUUCAUGUAAAAAAAAAAAAAAAAAAAAAAAAAAUUACUUUUUUUCAUUUUAUAUUAUUUAUCUUAUUUGCACUAUUUUAUUUAUUUAUUCAUUUAUUUUUUUUUUUUUUUUAUUUAUUUCAUAGGAAAGAGUUAUGUUCGUCAAUCCUUCGAGUUGCAUCAUGAACAUAAAAAUAACUAAGUCGUGCAUAAAAGUUUUAUAUAAACUAGCAGAUGACAAAAAAAAAGGAAAAAAAACAUAAUACCAUAUAAGUAAUACAAUAUAACACAAAUAAAACGAAUAAUAUUAUAUAAUAGAACCA